UGCCAAGGACUCACUGGAAGAAAACAAUGAAAUUAAGUGAAACACCAGUAAAGCAACCACCUCCUGUCUCGAGCAUCUAGUGGGAUGGUUCUUCUACCUGGCUGAGACGUAUUGUCACUCACUCUGCUAGGUUUUAAAUAUAAUCCAGAUUAACCCCAAGCAAGUGUCAAACUGUUGGGCUUGAGAUGCUCCUGGCUUCACGUCCCAGCCCAGGACAUUGGUGGAGGCUGGAGUUCUUGAUCAGCUGAAAUGAAAUCACUUAUUUGAGCCACUUUGCUGGUUGGCUGCACAUCCAAAUUCAUUUGCAACCUGCAUUUCACAGGAAAUUAAGCUCUCUCAAUAGAGCUAAAGAAAAUAUGAAACUGGGUCAGUUUUAAACCUGUUACAAACGUGUCCCAUGAAGUUGCCCCCAGAUAGAUUUCCCCGUUCCUUGAAGUGACAGUGUUUUAAAAUCCUGUCUAAAGCCCUUGCCAGGCCCAGGAAUACCAGCCCUGGCACGUACAGUUGGCUUGCAGAAAAUAACAGGGCUCCAAGGAGGGAUGGUAAAUUGCGAGCUGGGAUUUGGCCUGAUUCUUAUGCCCCUGCAUGAAUUGAGGUGGGAGCUGCCACUGGCCCCUAGCAGUGCUCUGGAGGUUGCAUGGCCCAUCGCCACUCAGCUGCCUGCACUGGAGCUGCCAGCUGGGAAGGCACUGACCCCGCUGGCGGGAUGAGGAUGUCACGCCUGUCGGGAACCUGCCGGCCCUUGUCUCUACCUCGCCCACCCAGCUGAGGAUGGUACAAUAUUAAAUGAACCCUCCCAACCAUGUUUGUCACGUCACACCGCUAGCUUUUCGGCUGGAUACUUUGAACUGAGCUGGUCAGGUAUGUGAACGGCAAUGGCUCCGUCACAAAGGGUGAAUACGUUCAGCUGCCGCCAGCGAAGCUGAGCGGAGUGAGGGCCUUUCCCCCUCUGCUGUUAAGCAAAGAGCAGCCUCCUCCAAUCACAGCCCCACACACCAAUCCGCGGUGCUCCCCUUGGGCUGCUGCUGGGAGCUGCCAGCGUGGAUGACACCUGUCGGACUCCGCGCCAGGGCACCGCUGGGCUGGUCAGCAUGCUCUGCAAGUGCACCAGAGGCAUCAUCCCAGCACCUGCAUUUCAUCCAGAUAGGGCCCAGCUUCCCGUCAGACCAGAGCAGGGGCACGAGCAGGGCGUACAGCAGAGGUCACGGUCACGGGUCUGCAAAGCAUCGGUCCCACCGGAGCCAGGCUGCCUUGGAACCAAGGGACUGACUGAUGCCCGUGACUCACUCUGGUGCGGCUAGUCAGGGGCCUGCCAGCAGGCGAGUCCCUGGCGUGCCAUUGAGACGCCGAAUUUCCAGGGAGGAAGAGCAGUAUUCUAAGGAGCUUCCAUUAACCUCGGCCCUUCUGCUGUUGCUUCCUGGGAGAAAGCAAUUAUUGCUCCCUCACGUGACUUUGGGAAGAAAAUGUGGCAGGGCAGUGAAUUACCAGGAACGUUUUUCAGCCUGCGUUUGGCUAUACCUGAAAACGUCACUGACUUCGAAGACCUGACUAAGUGGGGGCUGUGUCGGGAAUUCUGCACUGGAGCCAUUGCUCGGACUGACAGGUACAGCCCUAGCUUCCCUCUCCUCUGCUCUGGAGCUCGUCCCAUGAGUGCCGAUGGCUGAGAUCUCGUCAGAAUGUCGGUUCUCCUUUGGUGAACUGUACACAAAGAAUCGGGAGGGGUUUAACCGAGUGCUGAAACCCUGGCAGAGAAGAAGUGGAUGUAACCAGGACUCUUGUCAUAUACAUUUUGCAUGAUUUUCAGGCUUUGAACACAUUCAACAGGGAGCCUAUCCAGCCUGUCAACCUGUGUUAUUGUCGAUGGGACUUAUGUGCAGACAUCAACAGGAGAAUCGGCCCCGGAG